AUAUGAAUUUUAACAAAAAUAAUGUUUAACUCAAUAUUUACAGAAAUCAUUUAGGGCAUUAAUUAUAAAACCCUUUUACAAAACUUUAUAAAAAAACAAAAUUAUAAACAAUUAACUUUAAGUCUUUUUGCCUUUGAUUAACAUUCAGCCAUUUAAGAAAUUGUCAUAGUAUAUAUAUAUAGCCAUAUAUGAUUUCAAAACUUUUAAACAAUAUUCAAAUCUUGGACGUUUUUUUGGUUGUACAUUUCAACAUUUUUGCAGAAUUAUAUAACUGCAAUAAAACACCAGAAGAUCUAACACGUGGUGAUCUAGUAUUUUUCAAGUAUGCUCUCAUUACUUCCAUCGAUGUGGAAUAUUGAUCUUCGGCAUAUAAGUGUAUUCUAGUCAAUAAUAGAAUUAAGAGCCUUUCAGUUCAAAAACGUUCGAAAACACCUAAUAAUUCAAUGCAAUCACAAAAAUAAAUAACAUUUUCAGAACAUUCAAAACCAAAUUUUCAAAGAUUUUAUUUUUAAUUUUUAUAAAUAAAUAAUUUUACUUAAAUAGUUAAAUCACAAUUUUUUUAUAUUUAUAUGAAAUAAAUCCUAUUUUUAAUGACUA